GAUGAACGCUGGCGGCGUGCCUAAUACAUGCAAGUCGAGCGAACGGACGAGACGCUUGCUUCUCUUAUGUUAGCGGCGGACGGGUGAGCAACACGUGGAUACCCUACCUAUAAGACUUGGAUAACUUCGGGAAACCGUAGCUAAUACCGGCUAAUAUUUUGAACCGCAUGGUUCAAAAGUGAAAGACGGUCUUGCUGUCACUUAUAGAUGGAUCCGCUCUGCAUUAGCUAGUUGGUCAGGUAACGGCUUACCAAGGCAACGAGGCAUAGCCGACGUGAGAGGGGGAUCGGCCACACUGGAGCUGGGACACGGACCAGAGUACUACGGGAGGCAGCAGUAGGGAAUGGUCCGCAAUGGGCGAAAGCAUGACGGAGCAACGCCGCGUGAGUGAUGAAGGUCUUCGGAUCGUAAAACUCUGUUAUUAGGGAAGAACAUAUGUGUAAGUAACUGUGCACAUCUUGACGGUACCUAAUCAGAAAGCCACGGCUAACUACGUG
rnacentral:rRNA from 1 species